AUUGGAACCACUAUCUGAAGAGAGGAAAACAAAAUGGCAAAGGGAAAUGGACUGGUUGCUCUCCCCUACAAUACUCAAUGGUUGAGCUAGUUCAUUCCAGGAAAAAUGGUGCUAAUGGCUGGACAUUAGAGAUUAUGACUCCGAAAGCUCGUGCAAACAUACACAUCAAUCUUCCAGCACUUAAGAAGUUGGACUCGAUGCUUAUUGAAACACUUGAUUCAAUGGUGGAUACUGAGUUUGGGUAUGUAGAAGGUCGGGCAGAAGGAUGAAACAGAACUCCAGGUCAGAGCAAGAGAUGGUGGCUCCCAUCACCUCAGGUACCAGCUACUGGACUCUCUGAUACAGAAAAGAAUAAGUUACUUAAACAGGGUAAGGUGGUACAUCAAGUAUUCAAGGCUGCCAGAACCAUCAACGAAAGUGUUCUUCUUGAAAUGCCUGUGCCAACCAUUAUCAGGGAUGCACUUCCCAAGGUAGUGAAAUUUUUUCUGGUUUAGUAUUUUGAUCGAUCUGUUUGGUUUGAUUUUGGUAUGCAAUUAUAGUGUCUCAGAUGUAGUCCAAUUUCAGUUAGACGUUCUAGUAUUAGUGCUCAGAAUGGUGAUCGUGGCUUUUUCGUUUUUUUUCAGUCUUCCUUAAUCAAUCCUUGCAUUUUUCAUUGUCCAAUGUUGUGUUAUUGUUUACUGUAAUUCUUUUGGUAGAUUUUGUUUUUUUUUUUUUUGGUUUUCUGAAGAAAUAGUUUUCAUUUCUGGGUUCUUAAUUUUUUUUCAGUUUUUAUUUUAGGUGAGUGGCGAUUAUUGCUUGUGAAAUACAAUGGUAGUUCGUCUGGGUGUAUAUUGUGCUGGGAUUUUUUUUAUUUAUUAUUGGAUUGACUUUUCUGGAACUCAAGCAGGUCUAUUUCCCACCACACUUAGUGUGAAGAGGAAGGUGGUCAUUGAUGCCUUCCGCCUUAUCAACCCAUAGACUAUGAUGCUCGGUCAAGAACAUCGGCAGACCACAUCCAAUCUGGGCCAUCUUAAUAAACCAUCUAUUCAACUUUGAUCCAUGGGUUAAACCGGCAUUAUUACUCUAUAGCAAUCAAUUACAGGAAGAAUGAACUCGAGGAGAAGAUGUUGCUUAACCUUCAUAACAAGGGACAGUUGUUUUGAUUCGGGGCAGUAAGCAUGGCGGUGACAAACUAGUUCUCAACUCAUUGGCACAUGUUUUUGCUAGGUUCAUUUGCAGAUCAUAUUGUUCAAAUAAAGGAUGGUGCAUAGUUGGUGCUAGGAAGGCAGGUGGAGAGCUAGAUUUGAUCCCACAUCCCACCACUUCCUCCAACCAUUUCACCCAUUGUGAAGCUAAAAGUCCUGAUUUCUCUCAAGUAUUAUGUACCAAUUCAUUAUCAAACUACUAGGUCGAUCAUUUUACUUUUGGGUUGUUUAGUGAACAUAUGCCACUUUGGCUUAUUAGGUUUCAUGAUUUUGUGGAACAAUGACUAAUAUGAAUGCAUCUUGGUGGAUCCAUUUGAUGA